AACCUGAGUGGAAAUCAACUAGGAGACUCUUGGAAUUUGAAAAACCUCAGUGAUCUACUGAUGAACCCACAAUGUCAAGCUGGAGAAGCUACAUCUGUUUAUUGCAAGAUUACUGAGAAACAGUGUUUCAUCCUGACUUCAGCUCUGAAAUCAAACCCAUCACAUCUGAGAGAACUGGACCUGAACCAGAAUGAACUAGGAGACUCUGGAGUGAAAAAACCUCAGUGAUCUACUGAAGUACCCACAAUGCAAUCUGGAAAACCUAAAUCUGUGGAGAUGCAGUAUUACAGAGAAACAGUGUCUCAUCCUGACUUCAGCUCUGAAAUCCAAACCCAUCACACCUGAGAGAGCUGAACCUCAGUGGGAAUGAAAUAAAAAACGCUGGAGUGAAUCACUUAUGUGACAUACUGAAGGAUUCCACCACACUGUAAACUGGAGAGAUUGAGGUCAGAAAACAUUAACAUAAAAGAAUCAAAAUGAUUAAAAUCACUUCAACAGUUUUAAAUUAGAACACUAGGGGCCCGUUCUUCGCUAACUCAGUUAGCUGGGGAUUUGAUUGUUGACAAUUUCACUUGAUCUUGGAUUGGUUGGUCCUUCAAAGCUCAUCCCAGAGUUGCUGUCAUAGGAACAGGUCCGAAAGCUGAUAUGCUUGUGUGUGUACAUGAGCUCACACAGCACGAUCACUUUUUUUUUUUUUA